CGAACGGGUGAGUAACGCGUGAGGAACCUGCCUCAAAGAGGGGGGAAACAGUUGGAAACGACUGCUAAUACCGCAUAAGCCCACGGCUCGGCAUCGAGCAGAGGGAAAAGGAGCAAUCCGCUUUGAGAUGGCCUCGCGUCCGAUUAGCUAGUUGGUGAGGUAACGGCCCACCAAGGCGACGAUCGGUAGCCGGACUGGGAGGUUGAACGGCCACAUUGGGACUGAGACACGGCCCAG
rnacentral:rRNA from 1 species